AAACCAGCACCUCAAGUGGUCAGGAUGAUUAUUGGGCCUAAAGCAUCCGUAGCCUGAUCUGUAAGUUUUCGGUUAAAUCUGUACGCUCAACGUACAGGCUGCCGGAAAUACUGCAGAUCUAGGGAGUGGGAGAGGUAGACGGUACUCGGGAGGAAGUGGUAAAAUGCUUUGAUCUCUCGAUGACCACCUGUGGCGAAGGCGGUCUACCAGAACACGUCCGACGGUGAGGGAUGAAAGCUGGGGGAGCAAACCGGAUUAGAAACCCGAGUAGUCC
rnacentral:rRNA from 1 species